rnacentral:rRNA from 1 species
UACGUAGGUGGCAAGCGUUGUCCGGAUUUAUUGGGUUUAAAGGGCGCGUAGGCGGUCCUAUAAGUCAGUGCUGAAAUAUCCCGGCUUAACCGGGAGGGUGGCAUUGAUACUGUAGGACUUGAGUAAAGUUGAGGUUGGCGGAAUUGACGGUGUAGCGGUGAAAUGCUUAGAUAUCGUCAAGAACACCUAUUGCGAAGGCAGCUAACUAAGCUUUAACUGACGCUGAGGCACGAAAGUGUGGGGAUCAAACAGG